rnacentral:snRNA from 1 species
CUAGUUUCUCUUCAGAUCGCAUAAAUCUUUCGCCUUUUACUAAAGAUUUCCGUGGAGAAAUAGUGCCUCCUGUCUAAUUUUGUGAAAAAUCCAGUGGAUAGU